rnacentral:lncRNA from 1 species
GUCCUUGGAAUCUGACUGCUGUUGCCAUGGUGCCCACAACUACCCCCUGGAAGCCAAAGGCAGGCUCCCCCAGCAAAGCAUCUCAUCCCAUAGGAGAAAGGGGUGAGCCCCGGGUGUCAUGAGAGCCUUCAAGAUUCGGGCUCAGAAGGCGCCGAGCCUCCAGCUCUCCCUUAGCUCAGUGGCCAGCGCAACCAGCAUUUCUCUGCUUCACUCUCGUCCUCUGUGAACGGCCCCUGUGGGCAGCAGGACUUCAGAACUGUGCUCAUCGCUGUCAUCGCUGUCAUCUGCACUAUCAUUCAUGAAAAUGUUGAAUUCACGCAAGAUUCGGAUGGAGCGCCGGAUUGUUGGUGCGACCAACCGAUGGCGUUUUCCCCAAGACCAUUUCUGCGGAGACCUCCUGGCACUUUCCCAGAUGUGCAAUGUUUUGAACGUAGACCUUGAUGAUGCUCUGAAGAACCCAGACAAGUAGGGAGGGUCAAAUGCCCAUGAUGGGGGAUGGCAGCCCAGAAUGGGAAGAGGAGGUGUUCGAUGACCAGACCACAAUGACCAGAUGGUUCAGGACUGCUCCAGGCAUGUCUGAAAGGAAACUUCUCUCAAGGACCAUACAUAGGAACAGACAGGGUCUGAGACUACUUGUUCUGACCAGGUCUGUCAGUGCUGACCAAUGCUUUAUAGAUGAGCUCAGGACCCUCACAGGAUUCUAAGUUUGUCGUCCAGGGACCAAAUGAUCUCUUGAAAACACUCCAUGGCUAAGUGGAUGUUUCUCAUGAAUUCCCAAUCUCACCCAGCCUACCAUUCCCCUCCCUCUGUUAGAAACUAGUCUCAGUCUCAGGCUAGACCAUCACUUCUCCAAAUCGUGAGUUCUGCCUGUCCAGGGGACCCAGCAAUGGACCUUAUUUGCAGAAGGGUCCCUUCAUUUCCUGGUGCCUUUGCCCUGGCUUGAUGCCACUAAUCUCUGAACCGGCAGUGCCUGUCUCAUGAGUUCAUGGAU